rnacentral:lncRNA from 1 species
UUCCAGACCCUUCUUAAAUAUUAUCGUGUAUACCAGCUUUAUUAUUUAGCUCUGCAAUACUGCUAAAUUGGUCAAUUACUUCCCUGCCUCCCCACCCUCCAACUGAAUUCUCACCACCCUUGAGGGAAAACAGUCUGGGUUCCCUGUGGAACAUCAUUUCUCAAAACUGUAUUUUGGGGCUUGCUUUCUCAUUUUUCCUUUCCAUUUCAGAUAUCCUUACUGCUGUCUUUGGGCUCUUUAAACACUGCCUUUUUUCCUUUUUCGAUCACACCCAAAAACUUUUCUCAAAAAUUACAUGUAAAUUUAAAAAUUUACAAAUUAAAUUUAAAAUUGAAAUUUUAAAAAUCCCGACUCUCCCUAAUUUCAGGAAGCAUGCAUUUAUUAUACAUAACAAGACGUGAAAGCCGCAAGAGUUUCAGCCUAAACACUGAAGACCCCGCGAAGUGAAUCCAGCUGCUGCUCUACAAGCAGCAACAACAACUGGGAAGCCUUCUCAGCUACACUUCGGGGCACUGGUCCAACCCCACGCAAAAUCCCUCGUUUCCCUUAGCGUGGUAAGACGGAGCCUGACCUGAGCUCCAACUGUCCUAUCUUUUUCAAAUGUUUCAAACUUACUGCCUUUGUUCAGCAGAACCACGGGCACGGUGAUGAUGGUGACAAGCGCAGCAGCACCCAGCAGUCCCAGAAGAACCUUCCACGGUGUCUGCAAGCCGAGCAGAUCAAGUCCAAUUAGAGGGAAGCGUGUGGCCCCAGUUUCCGUAGGAGGGUCGGGGCUGCUCCAGAGGCAGCAGGAUUUGCAGGUGGGAGUGCGUUAGAAGAGGGAGACCGCGGGCUGGGGGUGGGGGUGGCGUCUGGAGUGCGCCAGUUGGAGUUCUCUAAGGCGGGUGCCCUUGAACUUGUGCCUUCAGAGCACAUUAGCGUUGGUUUCUCUACCCCUGCCCGGGUUCGGGCGUGCGUUCUGUGAGUGGCUCUCCGGGACAUUCAAAGCUCGACGCCAGGGUCCUAGCAGAAGCCAGGGUCCGAAAGCUAAGCGAGAGCUCUGGGACGUCCCUUCACCUGUCAGAGGGUGGCCUUGGGGCUUCCGCCUAAGGGGAGUCCCUGGUCCGGUUUCGCCAGCUUUUGGGCCAUUUGGGGAGUUUGGCGAAGAGGUCCCCACAGCUCGCCCCGGGGACGUACGUGGCGCGGCACUCACCUUCAUCGUCGGCGUCUCCUCGGAAGUGAGCGUUCAGAGAAGGAGCGCAGGCAGAAGUCACCGCGGGCGGCGGAGACGCGCGUCCUGCACCGCUGCUCCGGGCGGUGGAGUCACUCGCCGCUGGAAGGAAGACUGUACACAGAGAAUAAAUAACUUGGCCAAGCCAUUCAGCUAGGAAGUUGUAGAUCCUAAAUUAAGAGUUCAAGGUCUUAAUGGCUACUCUAUGCGGCCUCUCAUAGUCUUUUCAAGGGUUUUGGAGAAGAAUAAAAGAUCAGUCAUCCACAGAUGUUUGAGUGGUUACAAUGUGCCAGCCUCCCUUCUAGGUACUGGAGAUAAAGUGGGACAAGAGAGGCAUUGCUUUUGAACUCAGUCAUCUUUUCCCCCUUGCCCACUAGUUGCUUGUGAUACAUCAGUAUCCUCACUCACCCCCAACUCCAGAGGCUGAAACUAACUCUCCUCCUCCCUCUUCCAACUGCUGAGGAAGAUGAGUCAAUGGUGUUACUGGACCCUGUGAACUGAUGCUGUGAAGAGAGGCCAUUUAACACGGACUACGGGGAAUGGUGCCACAGGGGGCUCAGUGCUGCCCUUCACUCUCAGCAUUUUGCUCACUCAGCAUUGAUGACAGGAUGUCCCAAAAGUAACAAAAGAUGGGAGCCAGUCCUCUCAUAGCUGUUUCUUCAAUCAUCCCAUCAACAGCUCUUCAUUUAUUGAACUACCUUCCUUUUCCAAAGAGGUAAUGCUGAGAUCAGUCAGAAAGGCUUUCUGAGAAA